ACACACACACACACAUACCCCCCCCCCACACAUACAUAUGUAUAUUCAUAUAAAACCACAAAUAAAGAGGAAAAAACUUACAUAAUUACAAAGUAAUCUAUGAACAUUCUACAUGUAUGUCAACUAAUGUAAAUGUGUAAUCUAACUAAAUCCUACUGUGGCACAUUAUAUCAUUUCUUUCAUGAAUUUGUUGUCUCUGUGAUAGAAAAGGAAGUCAAUGUGACCUUCUUCAUUUCCCAUGGACCCUUUGGAUUUUUUCCCAGCAUAGUGUGGGAAAACAGUUCCCUCCUCCGGUCUAUCUUUAGCUGCUUCGCUGUAGGCAGGGCUGUGUUGUCCAUUCAGAGAAAGUCCCAAUUCAUAUCCUAGUACUCCCAAAUAGUUCACAAGAUUUAAAUGAAUGCAUUUAUAAUCACAGUAAGUACAAAACAGAAAUGCAAAGCCAAAGUGAACAGAUAUGACCCUAAAUGUCUAGUAAUAAGACAUUUUAAGAUAAAUGCAUGCUAAUGUGCGUGCUAAGAGCUACUAUGCAAACAAAAACCGUACUGAUAAGUUACUGAAGGAGAGCUUUGUGUUAUUUUUUUUUAACAAAACUGCCAAGUAAUGCAAAAACAAAGUGAACAAAUAUGCCUAAACAUAAAUUAAAAAUACAUUUUUAGAUACAUGCCUCAUCUUUUAGAGCUCAAAUAAAAACACAGAAUAGGAACUGUGUAAUUAAUUUGUUUUAACACCAUACUGUAUAUGACAUUUUCUCACAUACUGUACACAUGAGAAAACUUGUCUUCCUUCUUUUAGUUUCAAAUGGACAGAUUCGCGGCACAGCGUGAGUUUGCAAGCGUCUUUACGGUGUAAAGUGAUGGACAUACAGAAUUAUACCUGCAGGGGGCACUCAUACUGCAUUAAAUGAAUAACAAACUGUUAAUUUAGCCAAAAUACAUAACAUAUGGAACAAUUAUGAUGCUAUAAUAUUGAUUAUUAUAUGGCUAAGGGUGGGUGUUAGGUUCACGUGAUUUUGCCAAGUAAGGGAUCAACAUCUUUUGAUGAUCCUGGAUCAACAUUAUUGUCCAAAAAUACAGACUUAACCCAGUCCCUACCCAUAAUUUAUUCCUAAAAUCAGUGGGAAGUGAUAGCUGAUUAACAAGAGUGUAGAAGAACCUGACCCUGAUUGGAAGCCUAAAACAGAUAUUUCCUGAAAAGUUAGAUCUCAGUUCUGAUUGGUUGAUUGGAAUGUUGAAGGCCAUUGAUCCAGGAACGUUGUACUUGGUGAAAUCACAUGUUGCGCAGUGAUACCCAGAAGCAUUGGGUGAAGCAUCAUAGCUGUGCCUUAUCAUGAAUAAAACACAGCUGCUGACCAAUCAGAAUCAAGGACUGGAAAAGACAAAAUAAGUAUCCAUAUAAUAAAGCAUAUAAACAAUUAAUAGUAUGCUACAUGCUAAUGCUAACAUUGCAAACUCAAUGGUGGAGCAUGAUGAUAAAAUCUGCCAAGGAAUGCCAAGCCAAAGUGUGCAAAUAUGCACUCAACAAGUUACACAAGCAGUUUGUGAUGGUUUUCAUAAAAUUGGCCAGGAAUGCAAAGUAAAUUAGUAAUAUGAGUUAACAUAAUGCACAACAUUACUGAAGAAGAGCUGGUUUUAUGUUGGUUUUCAUAAAACUGGCAAGGAAUGCAAAGCCAAAGUGAACGAAUAUGAACCUAAACUUAAAGUAAAAAUAUAUUUUAAGAUAAAUAACGCAGACUACAUGCUAAUGCUAACCUGCAAACAAACAUGGGACUGGAUGAGUUGGUAUGAAAACGCAUAUUUUACACACACACACACAUUCCGAUCCUGGCUUAUUAUUUUACAACAUACUCAAACCGAUCCAUUGUAAUAUGCUAGAUAUUGUUUCACUUUAAAAAAAAACUGAUUGAAAAUAUUUGGAUUUGAGUUUGUUCACAGAGAAAAUGACCAAUGAAAAAGUCCAAAACACACCAAACCUUAACUUAGCUUCUGGUUUUGAUGCUAAAACACGUUUUGCAGAAGUGUGAGAGGUCUCGUUUUGAUAUUGCCAUGCAGAACAGACUAAAAUAAGCCCUUCAUAGAGGCAUGUACCCCACACUGGUAUACCAUUUACAGUAAGUGCAGAGCGUCAGAACUAGUAACGUAAACCGCUGGCUCUAGGGAGCAUGAUGCAUUGAGCACUGUGUGGGGUGCAUGGGCGGCUAUGACAGAGAUGAGUCAGCAAUCUUACCAAGCAGAAAACAGAAAAAACAAAUUGAUUAGUCUUUAACGUUAAUCUUGAUCAAGAGCGUACCAUUCUCACAGACAGAUGACUCUCGGAGAGCUUUCAACUGGAGCGAGAAAAUUGAAUUGCAGGUCACAGUGAGAAGAGACUGUCGUCCAGCAGAAUGGCGUCAGACGUGGGCCGCAGCACUUGAGGUCAGCCGUUCACUCAGCGCACAGUGUUUAUUCUGCCUUCAGAUCCUCCUGGGAAGUUCCUACUUAAAGUUCGGAAGUCAUAAUUAUGAUGUGAAGUGAUUUUGCUUGAAAUAAUACAGAUGAGCUGAGCACAACACACAACAUUCUGAACUUAAUGGGAACAUUAUCGAAACAUUCUUUGAACUUUUUUGUUUGCUGGGAACUUGAAAAGCAUUUUUAGUUCCAGUGGAACAAAAUUAAGAUCAACUGAACCACAUUAGUUGUGAUUUAAGCUUUAUGUAUUUUAUUAAUCUUGUGUGACAGUAUACUGUAUAAUGAUAGAAAUUAUUCUUUUUUCAUUAUCACAAAACGUUUACCAGUUUUAAGAUUAACAUUAAAUCAACACCAACAGUCUUGGUUCCAGAAGUAUUUUUCUCAUUAAUUUUCUAUAAAGGAAUCUUUCAAAAAAAAAAAAGGAAGAAAGAAAGAAGGAAAAAAAGCCAUUAAAACUUCAAAGACCAAACAGCUUAAAGAUAACAAUAAAGAUAAAGAAGUCUUUGUAGUUUCAGUUUUUAAGGAAAAUGUCUAUUAUAUAUCAUAUAAAGUAUAAUGCAAAUAUUAAGUAUACUUUUAUUAAGCAUUAUACAACUGCAUUUGAAUAGUUCAUAUGUAUAAAUGUUAGUAAAUGUAUUUUAUUUAUUGAUUAAUUAAUUUAAAGGGGUCAUAUGAUGCUGCUAAAAAGAACAUUAUUUGGUGUAAAGAAAUGUGUUUAUGUGGUUUAAGGUUCAAAAAACACAUUAUUUUCCACAUACUGUAUAUUAUUGUUUCUUGUCUAUGCUCAUCGUUCUGAAAAGCAAGGUGUGCUCUGAUUGGCCAGCUAUCCAGUGCGUUGUGAUUGGCUGAAUACCUCAAGCGUGUGACGGAAAUAUUAUGCUCCUUAACAGAUUGUGAUGCCCUGUCCUGCUGGAGCGACGAGACAUGAACAUCAAAACCCAUUAUAAAUGUGAUAUAAACAUGAUUUCUUGUCAUGUUUUCUUUUGAAAGGCAAAAACAAUGUAGUUUUGCUUUCUCAAUUAAACCGCGUCACACACUGCCGGAUUCUACGAAGGAGCAUCCAUUGGGCUUGAGGCAACCACAUGUGCAGACUCUGCUUCGUUCACGGUGAAAGCCGAUUCAGUGAUACACAGUGCAAAGUUAAAGUAUUUCCUCAGUGAUGAGCACGGAUCAGCUCCAGGCAUGACGAAGAGGAUAUCGUCCUCUUUUGGAAGGUCAAACAAAGUAGUUUCGCUUUCACAGUGAAACACAUAGCGUCUAUACGACAUGGUGGCGGUGUCGACAACAAUAAUACAACUAGAAUAAAAGAUACGCCUUCUUUCUUUGCAUGAACAUUUGGGCAGCGUUAUGCAAAUCUUCUCACAUAGUGAUGUAGAGAUGUGGGGGCGUGUUUAAACGAGGCGUUUAGGCGGGUGUGGAAAAGACAACUUUUAUAAAGAAUAUCUCUUUGGAUUUGAGACUUUAGUAUUUGUAACUUUACAGAUAUUUAUGCACCAGAAGCACUCCAAAGAGAAAGGAAAAUUUAAAAUUGCAUCAUUUGACCCCAUUAAUUUAAUUAAUAUAUAUUUAUUUAUUUAUUUUUUGAUAACAUUCAAUGAAAAUUGCCUUGAAAUCACUGAUUUACAGCUUCUACAGAAGAACGUCUUUUCAGAGCUUGUGUUGAUCUGUCUCGAAAAGUUUGUAACUCUAUUGAGAAGACGAAUGGAUUGUACUUCUGGAACCCAGUUGUUGUGUUCUAUAGCAAUUCGCUUCUGCUGUCAUUUUAUCAUUGACACGAACCCAACAAUAAUGCUAGGGGCUGUUAUAAAAUCCCAUGCUUCUCAUUACUAAUUACGACAUCCUGGCGAAUAGACUGUGACGUGACUUGAAGACAGCACGGUUUAUUUAUUUUCAAGCUAAACUGCUGUGGACUGCUGUAGAGAGAAACGACAGAGCAUCACUGCCAAACUAGCUGAAGUAUUGUUGAUGAGCUGAUACACUUAUCACUGGCAAUAAAUGUUUCCCUGAAAAACACAAUCAGUUUGACAUCUGUCUUUUUCUGUGGUCAGACUUGUGACUGUUUAUUUUAACGGUGUGUUUACGUUGAGCUGUCCUCCUACGAUCUGUCUGCCAGUCGCGAACAGAGCGGUUGAGCUGUGGUUUAUGUGCACGCAGUUCAUUCCCAGAGUCUGUGUGUGAGGACACGUGUAAUGCUCUCUCAAAUGUCACUCACACAUGAGAUGUAAGCUUCAUGUUGUUGACAUACAAAAACUGCCUAUUUGAAACAUUUCUGCAGUUUGUGCCAUUGCAUUUCUGCUUGCCUUGAUUUUAGGACGAUGCAUUUCCUGAGUGUGACCAUUAAUAGAUUUAUUUUAGUUUUUUUGUUAUAAGUUAACCAGGAAGAAUAUGUUGAAUGAAUUAGUAAAUUAUGGUGCAAUUAAUCAUAACUAAUUUUGCAGUGCUGUUUUACGUGUACUAAAAUACCUGUAAUUUACAUGUGCAAGUGUAAUUGCAAAAUGUGUUUUGAUUUUUUUAAUUUAGCUCUUGAUUUAAAAUUGCAAUUUAUUAUCUUGUUUUAAGACUGCAGAUGUUUCUGUGCAUGCAUCUGCAUUAAAUGCAGUGCAGCGUAGAGUAAUGCAACGGCUGAAUUUGGAUUAUGCAGAUGUCAUUUUUAGUCCUCCCUCUGUUAACACUAAUGGGUGUGGGUUAAAUCAAACGGUUGAAUCAUGAGUUUUGCAUAAGUGUUUAAAGUCAGAUACAGACUUAUGGAUUAAGGUCACCAAAAUAUUUGUGACUUUAGAGUGAGUCAUUGUUUGUUAAAAUAAGAACAGUGUCAUUGGUUUUUAAUCGGUGGUUAGUAGAUGAUAAAAAAUGAUACAUGUGUAGGUGAAGAAAACAAAGUGGGUUGAGAUGCAGAAUACUAUGAAAGUGGAUAUUUUGCACACACAAAUAAACAAGCAAACAAGAAAACA